rnacentral:lncRNA from 13 species
AGGGUCUCCCUAUGGUUGCCGAGGCUGGUCUCAAACUUCUGAGCUCAAGCAAUCCUCCCACCUUGGCCUCCCAAAAGUACUGGAUUUACAGAUGUAAGCCAACUUACCUGGCCUCCACUUUUUUCUUGUCAUUAUGCCCUAAACAAUACAGUAUAACAAAUAUUUACAUAGCAUUUACAUUGUGUUAGGUAUUAUACAUAGCAUUUACAUUGUGUUAGGUAUAAUCUAGACUACUAGAUUUAAAGUACACAGAAGGAUGUGCAUAGGUUUUAUGCAAAUACUACACCAUACUAUAUAAGGGUCUUGAACAUCCAUGGAUUUUUGUAUUCAUGGGGGUCUUGGAACCAAUCCCCCGUGGAUAUUGAGGAGUGACUCUACUUCUCAGCUAUCAUAUUUGGUCUGCUCAUUGUUCAUGUGUAGGACAUAACAAAUUUAUCUAUUGUUUGUGCCCUUCAUGUUUCAUGCCUUUUUUUUUUAUUUUUUUUUUUUUUUUUGAGAGAUGGGUUCUCACAGUUGCCCAGGCUGGUCCCAAACUCCUAGACUCAAGCAGUCCUCCCUGUUCAGCCUCCCAAUGUGCUGAGUUUACAGGGGUGAUCCACCGCUCCUGGCCAAAUACUGUCCUAUUUUACCUCUGCAGUUGGUGGAACCUGGGAGUAUGGAGGGCUAAAUUAUUUUGUUUUCUGUGAACAAAGAGACCAAAGAGGAAGAGGAAAGGGAGGAAGCAGCCGCAGCCCUCAGUAAGGCACCUAAGCAGUGAAAAGGUUUCAUCCACAUAUAUGUUACAAAGUAAUCUUUUUUAAAGUACAUUUUUCAAGAGGUAGAGAAGUAGACAAAAUGGUGAGUUGUCAUGAAACAAAUAGAUGGGUCUCUUUUCUUUUUUAGAACUUUAUCUUGCAUUUUUCAGGUGCCCAGUAUGAUUUUAUUUUAUUUUUAUUUUCAUUUUUAGUUCUAGUCAUUCUCCCCCAGGAUUCUCAUUCCUGGUAGUUCCAUCACCUCCCACACCAUCCCAAAUGUGAUUUUUCAUCCCACUCUGAAUCUGGAUACUUGACUCAUUUCUGAACUUUCAUUUUAGUUGCAAAUCUCCCAAAACUGUAAGUUAGCUAUCAGCCAUUUGAGGUUGAUUGUGGGGUGUCAGUGAAACUUGCCUCCUGAUUUCAUCAGGACUUGAUUAUCCUAUAACUGGUGUCUUCUGUGCGGGAUCUCUAGGGAAUGAGGGAGAGGUCACUGGGAAGGGGCCACUUCUGGGCCUCCUCAUCUCCCUCCUCUGACCUGCUAUUGGAAAGCCACAGUGUCAGUUACAAAGGGCCAGAUGUCCAGUACUUCCCUGGAAAUUCAAGUCACUGUGAACCAGUGAUACGAACACAGUAACAAUCUAUAAUAUUUUACAGCUACAAGGCUUGGUUCUCUUCAUUCUUAAUGAUUUUUUUGGGGUGAGGGGAGAGGGUUUCACUCUAUGUCCACACUGGAGUGCAGUGGUGUGGUUAUUGGCUCACUACAACCUCUGCCUCCAGGCUCAAGCAAUCCUCCCACCUCAGCCUCCCAAGCAGCUGGGGCCUUAGACAUGUGCCACCACACCCAGUUAAUUUUUUAUUUUUUGGUAGAGACAAGGUUUCAUCAUGUUGCCCUAGCCUGGGUGUGAGUCAACUCCUGGACUCAAGCAAUUUGUCCACCUCAGCUUCCCAGAAU